UACUUUUUUUUAUCUUAGACAUUUUCAUUAUCCUUUUUGCAGCUUGGUGCACUGAGUAUGUUCAAUGAUUACAUUUCAAUACGGAAAUUACGUUAGCUGAUUUGAUUUUGGGACUUAAGACCAUGACAUCCUAAAGGAUCUUGUAGGUGAUGGAACAUUCACAGUUGACCAGGAAAAAAUUGAGAUAAGAGAGAUUUUAGCAGUUUGAAGAAAGAAUUUGCAAGGUUUCUGCAUAUCAACAACACACAUCCAAAGUCACAGAUGUUGAAGAAUUUGCAAACAGUGUGAGUGAAGAAAGCCUAGAAAAGAUGGAGUAUCUUAAUGCAGAUUUUAACGAAACUCUCAAGACUCUUUCAUGCAGUU